UUUUUCAGUCUUUUUGAAAACGAGGCCCCCUAGAGGUUUGUAUGAAGAUUGAGGUUUGAAUUUGUUUUUAGUGAUUGACAAACUGUGCAACAUGAGGCAAAGCCUUAAAAUGUGUAAUACGACAAAAAAGAAAAAAAAAAAAAAAAGAAGAGGAAUGAAUGCGUAAAAACACAUUAAAAAUUUCUUAAAUAUGAAUGUAAUAAAAAGGGGCUCAAUUCACAUUACAUUGUCAUGUUUACCCAUAAAAUAUGUAAAACAAAUAUUUUGAACAUUUUUACAUUAGGGAAAUAUCAGGAUAUUGAACAAAUGUGAUGUCUGUUCACUGAGCGAAAAAAAUGCAAAUUUCAGGAACAUGGAAAGAAAAAACCAAAAAAAAAAAUUAAAAAAAAUCGCA